rnacentral:rRNA from 1 species
GUCUACGGCCGUGCCACCUUGAACAAGCCCAAUCCCAUCUAAUCUCGGAAGCUAAGUAGGGUCGAGCCUGGUUAGUACUUGGAUGGGAGACCACCUAGGAAGACCAGGUGCUGUAAGCA